rnacentral:misc_RNA from 1 species
GAUGAAGAACUCAGCGAAAUGCGAUAAGUAAUGUGAAUUGCAGAAUUCAGUGAAUCAUCGAAUCUUUGAACGCACCUUGCGCUCCUUGGCAUUCCGAGGAGCAUGCCUGUUUGAGUGUCAUUAAAUUCUCAAGACCUGUCUGCUUUUUUGAUAGGUAUUGGAUUUUGGGGGUUGCAGGCUGUUUCAAAUAAAUAGCCUUGCUCUCCUUGAAUGUAUUAGUGGAGAAAAGCCAUUGAACUCCAUUGGUGUGAUAAAACCUAUCAAUGCCAGGAGCAAUAUCACUACUUCUCUCUGCUGUCUAACUGUGACUGUCUGUAUUAAUUAGUAUGGAUGGGGACAACUUGACCAACUUGACCUCAAAUCAGGUAGGACUACCCGCUGAACUUAAGCAUAUCAAUAAGCGGAGGA